rnacentral:rRNA from 1 species
CCAUGCAUGUCUAAGUAUAAACUGCUUUUUUUAUACGGUGAGACUGCGGAUGGCUCAUUAAAUCAGUUAUAGUUUAUUUGAUGGUCCUUUUUUUUUUACUACUUGGAUAMCCGUGGUAAUUCUAGAGCUAAUMCAUGCGUAAGGUCCUGAUCUGGUCCCUGGUUUCUUUGGAGUGUGGUGUUUAAAACGCAUKSCAUUUCGGGSCCAGGUGGGUGGAAAGGGAKGUAUUUAUUAGGUAAAAAAACCGGCGCGGCAUCUUCCUUCGCGGGAGGGUGUCUACAAAUGUGCGAGAGGGCUUGCCUCUCUUGCAUUYUCUGGUGAUUCAUAGUAACUCUUUCGGAUCSCAAUUAUACAGUCGCCUCGCCGCAAGGCGGGSUGGCAGCGACGAUUCAUUCAAAUUUCUGCCCUAUCAACUUUUCGAUGGUAGGAUAGAGGCCUACCAUGGUCGUAACGRGUAACGGAGAAUUAGGGUUCGAUUCCGGAGAGGGAGCCUGAGAAAUGGCUACCACUUCUAAGGAAGGCAGCAGGCGCGCAAAUUACCCAAUCCCGACACGGGGAGGUAGUGACAAUAAAUAACAAUACAGGUCUCGACAAGAGUCUUGUAAUUGGAAUGAGUACAAUUUAAACCCCUUAACGAGUAACAAUUGGAGGGCAAGUCUGGUGCCAGCAGCCGCGGUAAUUCCAGCUCCAAUAGCGUAUAUUAAAGUUGUUGCAGUUAAAAAGCUMGUAGUUGGAUUUAGGGGCGACACCGUCUUUCGUGUGCGUGUGUCUGCUUGUCCCCUGGCUGCCCUUCUGGGGUGGUCAGGGGCGGCGCAUGCGUAUGCGAGGGUGCGUGCUUUCAGUGUGCAGGGCAACUUGCACAUGGCACGAGGAGGGCUCGGUCCGCUUUGCCCUACUGUCGUAUGCUCAAACAUGCGGUGGUACGGUGGCGUGCACUGGCCCGCCCGCUCCCUCCUUCUGGAUUUCCGUCUCCAAUUGGGCUAUUAACUUAGCUCUGGGGGCGCCUCGGGUGUGCUGUUCACCCUUAGCCGGGUGGGCGGUUGCACUCAGGGCAUCUGUCCUUUAAUCGGGGCAGGUGUUGAGACCCAGAUCGUUUACCGUGAAAAAAUUAGAGUGUUCAAAGCAGGCAGAUAUUCUUUUACUGCCACCGAAUACAUUAGCAUGGGAUAAUGGAAUAGGACCCUGUCCUUCAUGUUUCGCGUUGGUUGUGUGUUAAGUGCGUGCGCAAGCACGUGGCUGGCACAUGGUUUCGUCUGAAGGAGGACCAGGGUAAUGAUUAAUAGGGAUAGUUGGGGGCAUUAAUAUUUAAUUGUCAGAGGUGAAAUUYUUGGAUUUAUGAAAGAUUAACUUCUGSGAAAGCAUCUGCCAAGGAUGUUUUCAUUAAUCAAGAACGAAAGUUAGGGGAUCGAAGACGAUUAGAUACCGUCGUAGUCUUAACCAUAAACCAUGCCGACCAGCGAUUGGGAGACGUUUCACACGGAAGUGGUGCCAGGAGGCGCCCCGCUUUGCCCCGUAAAAAAGGGCUGARCAGGCGCCUCUCUUGGGCUGCUUCCACUAAAGGAUGACUCCCCCAGCARCUUGKGARAAAUCAUCAAGUCUUUGGGUUCCGGGGGGAGUAUGGKCGCAAGGSUGAAACUUAAAGGA